UACGAAGGGGGCUAGCGUUGCUCGGAAUUACUGGGCGUAAAGGGCGCGUAGGCGGACAGUUUAGUCAGAGGUGAAAGCCCAGGGCUCAACCUUGGAAUUGCCUUUGAUACUGGCUGUCUUGAGUUCGGGAGAGGUGAGUGGAAUGCCGAGUGUAGAGGUGAAAUUCGUAGAUAUUCGCAAGAACACCAGUGGCGAAGGCGGCUCACUGGCCCGAUACUGACGCUGAGGCACGAAAGCGUGGGGAGCAAACAGG
rnacentral:rRNA from 1 species